rnacentral:rRNA from 1 species
UACGGGGGGAGCAAGCGUUGUUCGGAUUUACUGGGCGUAAAGGGCGCGUAGGCGGCCUCCGCAAGUCAGUUGUGAAAUCUCCGAGCUUAACUCGGAAAGGUCAACUGAUACUGCGGGGCUAGAGUGCGGAAGGGGCAACUGGAAUUCUUGGUGUAGCGGUGAAAUGCGUAGAUAUCAAGAGGAACACCUGCGGCGAAGGCGGGUUGCUGGGCCGACACUGACGCUGAGGCGCGAAAGCAUGGGGAGCGAACAGG